rnacentral:rRNA from 1 species
GACGAACGCUGGCGGCGUGCCUAAUACAUGCAAGUCGAACGCUUCUUUCCUCCCGAGUGCUUGCACUCAAUUGGAAAGAGGAGUGGCGGACGGGUGAGUAACACGUGGGUAACCUACCCAUCAGAGGGGGAUAACACUUGGAAACAGGUGCUAAUACCGCAUAACAGUUUAUGCCGCAUGGCAUAAGAGUGAAAGGCGCUUUCGGGUGUCGCUGAUGGAUGGACCCGCGGUGCAUUAGCUAGUUGGUGAGGUAACGGCUCACCAAGGCCACAAUGCAUAGCCGACCUGAGAGGGUGAUCGGCCACACUGGGACUGAGACACGGCCCAGACUCCUACGGGAGGCAGCAGUAGGGAAUCUUCGGCAAUGGACGAAAGUCUGACCGAGCAACGCCGCGUGAGUGAAGAAGGUUUUCGGAUCGUAAAACUCUGUUGUUAGAGAAGAACAAGGACGUUAGUAACUGAACGUCCCCUGACGGUAUCUAACCAGAAAGCCACGGCUAACUACGUG